UCAGUGGUGGUGAUGAUGUAGCAGCCACUGACACUGCUGCACUCACCUGCUGAGACCAAGGGCCCACCACAGAAGUCAUGCUGGUGUUCACUGGGAUGCAAGAAACUGAAAAAUGAUGAAGGUUCGAAUCUCUGCAGGACCCUGAAGAAGAAUCACAGAAGAAUAAUACAGAAUUUUCACCCUGUGGAUGUGUGAGACAAGCUGGUUCCUUCCCAUCUAUUCCUUCCUGACAGGUGAUGCUACCCCAGAAGAACCUGAUGCUCCACAUGGUGGGGCAGAGCUCCAGACAGAGAAGGUUGUGCAGCCCCCCGUGUACAACCCUGCACUGGCCAGUGCUGGGGUGGAGAAGAGGGGUCACACCUGCCACCACAGUACUUCAUACUAUUCCAGAAUUAAUUUGCAUUUGCUCCUUUCUGUCUUGCUGAGACAAUUGCGCAAUACAAACAGUAUGCUGUCUUUUCAUCUCUGCUUUUUAAAGGUGUCCUUAAUUACAUGUGGUUCCUGAGAAAUUGUUAUUAACAAUUUAAUUAAGACCCAACUGGUUGUAUCUGGAAAUAAAAGAUUAUAGUGUCUUUUGAUACUUACUUCAUGUUUCCUCCUUUACGAUGGAGAUUCUGCCGUUAGAGAUCCUUUCUGAGUUCUGAAUUCCUCCCUCUGCAUCUCCCACUUGGCAUGGACCCAUGUUCUCUUUUUUUCCCAAAACCCUAGCACCAGGGAAGUCUCACAGAAUAUGCCCAACAAGACCUGGCUGCACUCCUGGUAGUCCAGCUGCACAGAGGAAGACUUUCUCCACAUGCAAUGAUACUUCUUUGCAACCUUCUAAAUGGCAUGAGAGUCAACAACAAAGUGAUGCUGUACAGGAUAUGCUGACAGGCUCACAUGUCCCAUUUAUUAUUUGGCUAAGAGUUUCUCCUUGUCAGGGUGUUUGAGAGCCCCCACCCUCAGCCCGUGAGUACCUUUGGUUCCCUGCAUCUCCAAAGUGCUCUCUGGAUUGGGGUGGGUUGCUGAAGCUGUUGUGAUAGGUGCUCACAUAAAACCUCUGCUGAACUAAGUGCAAAUCAAAGCAGCUUCAUUCAUUCAGCAGGGUAGGCUUCACUCAUUCAGCAGCCUCUUGGGGAAUAUCUCUCAGUGUUUCUUUUUACAGCCUGUCUUUUCCUGCACUCAGCCUGUACAGUCUGCAAUUUUCCCUCAUUCUCUCCAGCUCCAUGUGGACCAUCAUCUGAGUGACCAUUGAUCCACACAGAUCUCCUGGAAAUAGCCUUAAAUCCUAUGUGCUUAGGGAGAAAGACGUCUAAAAGAAGCCGUGUGUACUCAGUGCCAGACUCCUGGGCUUUGAAAGAACAUACAGAGAGAAGGAGUCCACCACCAAAAAAGCUCAUCCUUGUGCCCCACUGCAUGGUCACGAAUGCAGGAGGAGACAUCUGGACACCCCUGACCCUGGCUCUGCACAUCUCCACAUGUCACUGCACACAGCAUGUGUGUCAUCAGUGGCAGAGGAUCCUCCAGUCUCUGUUAUGCUUUGGAACUACAUUUGUUAAUUGUUUCUCAAGUUCAGUUUAGGCAAAUGCCAUUUUAGCAUAAUUUUAUUUACACAGGGGACAGAUUAAACCAGUAAUAAUAAUGACACAUAUUAGGUGCAGCUGUUCUAUUUUGUUCCCCCAAGCAGGCCUGCAGCACUGUUUCCUAAUUUAAGUCCUGGUGCUACAAAUCUGAGUAAAUUUUACACAUGGGAAUAUUUCCUCUAGACUUGGUGGAGGCUGCUCAGAUGUGAAAAGCUGGAUUUUCUCACAAGUAUUUUCAGGACUGAACCCAUCAUUUAAGUGGCCCAGUUUAACCUAGUUUUUGCCUAUAUAAAAAAAAUCAUCAAACAGGGCCAAGGAGUCCUCUGUGACUUUUCUGACCAAGUUUUACUUAAUUAUUUCAUCAUGGUCAUGCCAGUAAAUCAGUGUGUUUCACUUUGGAAACAAUCUUGCAAAAGUCUGAUGAUCAUUGUUUGUAUCUCAUCUUAAUGAUGUAUAAAUCUUGAAGACUUUAUCCCUUAAAAAGUAAAAGGAAUGAAGUUUUUGUGCUAAUGAUUUUUUUUUUUCUGUUUGAUUGGUUGAUUGUGUUCUUUUCCCCUAAACCUAGAACAGUAGCCAAUUUCCCAAGAUAGUGAAACAAAAACAGAGAUAACUUUACAGUCAACCUCUUUAAUAUGUAGCAAAUAUGGUGAACUUAUAUGCCAUGGAGUAAGUGACAGAUUCACAGGUUCAGUGUUACUUUUUACAUAUGUUUUAAUUUGUAUCUGUAACACAGUAAAAAAAAAAAAAAAAAAAAAAAAAAAGAAA